GGAUUAGAUACCCUGGUAGUCCUUGCCGUAAACGAUGCACACUUGGUGUAGUUGGGCUCAACCCUGACUGUGCCGUAGCUAACGUGUUAAGUGUGCCGCCUGGGGAGUACGCUCGCAAGGGUGAAACUCAAAAGAAUUGACGGGGACCCGCACAAGCAGUGGAGCAUGUGGUUUAAUUCGAUGCAACGCGAAGAACCUUACCCAGACUUGACAUAUAGCGGACAGCCUUGGAAACAAGGCUUCUCGUAUGGGUCGCUAUACAGGUGCUGCAUGGCUGUCGUCAGCUCGUGUUG
rnacentral:rRNA from 1 species